rnacentral:rRNA from 1 species
CAGUAGCCGCGGGAAUACAGAGGGUGCGAGCGUUAAUCGGAUUUACUGGGCGUAAAGCGUGCGUAGGCGGCUUCUUAAGUCGGAUGUGAAAUCCCUAAGCUUAACUUAGGAAUUGCAUUCGAUACUGGGAAGCUAGAGUAUGGGAGAGGAUGGUAGAAUUCCAGGUGUAGCGGUGAAAUGCGUAGAGAUCUGGAGGAAUACCGAUGGCGAAGGCAGCCAUCUGGCCUAAUACUGACGCUGAGGUACGAAAGCAUGGGGAGCAAACAGGAUUAGAUACCCCUGUAGUCCCUGUCUCUUAUAC